rnacentral:rRNA from 1 species
CACGUAGUUAGCCGGGGCUUCUUAGUCAGGUACUGUCACUUUCUUCCCUGCUGAUAGAGCUUUACAUACCGAGAUACUUCAUCGCUCGCGCGGCGUCGCUGCAUCAGGGUUUCCCCCAUUGUGCAAUAUUCCCCACUGCUGCCUCCCGCAGGAGUCUGGGCCGUGUCUCAGUCCCAAUGUGGCCGGCCGCCCUCUCAGGCCGGCUACUGAUCGUCGCCUUGGUGGGCCGUUACCCCGCCAACGAGCUAAUCAGACGCGGGCCCAUCCCAUACCACCGGAGUUUUCCCCAGGAAGCUAUGCACGCCUCCGUGGGCGUAUGCGUAUUAGCAGUCCGUUCCGGCUGUUACGUCCCCGGUAGUCGGGGCAGGUUCGCCCACGUCGUUACUCCACCCGUCCGCCACUCACGACAGCUACUCGUUCCCUCCCGGAAGGGACUCCCGUGCACGCCGCUUCGUCGACUUGCAGUGUAGUAAGC